UACAUAGGGUCCAAGCGUUGUCCGGAUUUACUGGGCGUAAAGAGCGUGUAGGCGGUAAAGCAAGUUAAAUUUUAAAUGCUCUCGGCUUAACCAGAGCAUGAAUUUAAUACUACUUUGCUAGAGAUUGGGAGAGGAAAGUGGAACUAACAGUGUAGCGGUGAAAUGCGUAGAUAUUGUUAGGAACACCCGUGGCGAAGGCGGCUUUCUGGACCAAUUCUGACGCUGAGACGCGAAAGCGUGGGGAG
rnacentral:rRNA from 1 species